rnacentral:misc_RNA from 1 species
UUUUUAAAAAGAUAAUCAUAUCUAAAAUAAAUAAAAUUUAGAAUGAUACAAAUUAUUUGCGAUUGGAAAAAUGACAACAUCAAAAUCUUCUUGUCACUAACUAAUUUACUAUUGGGUAUCAACUAGAGGAGCUAACGAUCAUAGACAUUUUAUGCCUCAUGUUUGCUUUUAAGUUUUUGGAUUACUAACCUUAUCAUAAUUUGUCUUUGCUAGAACAGAUGCAAAAGCCUCUGAUAACUAUGAAUCCAUCACUUUUAAUUCAUAUCACAACUAUUCCACAACUUUAAUGAGAAACAUACUCCAUUAUGUCCACAAAUCAGAUUCAGCAUAAAACUUGCACAUCAAAUUCCUGUCAGAGGGGGUUUCCAUUCAGGACUUUCAUGUAUUUACUUCAACUGAAGCAUCUUUGACAUCUUCCAACAACAAUCUAAACUUUAGAGUCUUAUGAAGGCGGGCAACUGGCUUCACUUGCUUACUUGGAGCUUGAUUUGGAUCAAUUAUGCAUUUUCCUGAGAACAGGUUUGCUUCUGAUGGUCCUGUCUCCUCAUGAAGCACAGGGGGAGCUUCUGAAAAUAAAAGUUCAUGUCAGCAUGAUAAUGCAACAAGUAGUUCCUAGACAGAGCUUCAUGUAGAAUCAUAUGAUAAAACACUUCUGAAAAUAUUUUAGCAAAAAUAGCUUGGAUGCAAUGAAGUCAUAUUUGUCUCUGUAAAACAAAGACAAAUAAUGUUGAUAAAAUAGAUCGGACCUAAUUAUAUCCCAGAAAACAUCUUGUGGGAGGAGAUUGCCCAAGUCAUAUAUGAACCAUUUUUGCUCAAUACUCGGCUGAUGUGAGACUUAACACAGCCCUCUUAUACCAAAGACUGAACAUAUGAAGCGUGAAAUUUGUAGAACUGGACAUCUACGGAUGGUCCGACAUUGAGAUUAGGAUUAAUUCUAAUAUCAUAUUUGAUAAAAUGGACUUACUCCAAAAGGCAUCUUAUGGGAAGUGGAUUGUUCAAGUCAUAGAUGAAGCAAAUUUUUUGCCUAAUACCCAGCCAAUGUGAGGCAUAACAAUAACAUGAAAAGCUCAUCAAAUGAGAACAUAAUUUUGCAACAUGGUGAAACUCCAGCUCAUGUCAUGCAAUAGAAUCAUUUCAUUUUUAUUUUAUUUGCAAAAAAAAAAUUAAUGCCAAGAUCAAAUAUAAUCUUUAGUUCAUGUGAGGGAAUUUUCCUUGCUUCAUUACUAAUUUGUAUGGGCAAUAAUAGUAAAAAAAAACUCACCUUCUUCAGAGAAAACCAAACAUGUUCCUAUUGUUUCUUCAUAUUCUCCUAUCUGUGUAAAAAAAGCCAUUAACCAAUAAAAUUUAAAAUCAUAUACCAUGCACCAAUCUCAUCAGUAAACCACCCAAAUAGGAAAAAUCUCAUGAAAAAUUGCUGAUACUAAAAGUGAAUACCAAUGUCUGCCAACCCAAUCAAAACAUGACUCACCAGCUUCAAUUUGUCAUCUAUGAUCAGUAUUGGAUUCAAAGUAUCAAGACCCUAAAAUCCAAAAAACAGUGAAGUAAAAUAAAAUGAGUAUUCAUGACAAGAAAAUAAUGGGAUCCCAAUGAACUAAUAAGGGAGACAAUAAACGUGAAGAAAAAGGCAAAGAGAACUGAAAAAAAAAAAGCCAAAACAAAAUGUAGAUGCCAUGAUCCUAUACUUCAAUUAAAAAAGGGGCACAUGCAAGAAAGUAUGUAGUGGAAGAACUGCAAACAGUCUUGGCAACUCUUUAUCAAAUCCAUGAGCGAGAAGCCCCAUUCAAACCUUCAAGUAAGACCAGUAGAAACAAAAAAAAAGGUCUCCUAAAACACUUGCAUGGCAUUUUUGAACAACUAAAAUGCAGUGGAAAUUUUCGAAAGGUUAAAUAUCAAGCAAGAAAAAUAUAGAUAACUGUGUAUUAUAGGGAUUCAAGCAUA